GGUGUGGCCGACUGGAUAAGAGGGUUUGAACCUUUCUUUAUGGGGAUUUGAGGUUCUCCUCACACUU
rnacentral:tRNA from 1 species